UUUAUGGAGAGUUUGAUCCUGGCUCAGGAUGAACGCUGGCGGCGUGCCUAAUACAUGCAAGUCGAGCGAACAGACAAGGAGCUUGCUCCUUUGACGUUAGCGGCGGACGGGUGAGUAACACGUGGGUAACCUACCUAUAAGACUGGGAUAACUUCGGGAAACCGGAGCUAAUACCGGAUAAUAUUUCGAACCGCAUGGUUCGAUAGUGAAAGAUGGUUUUGCUAUCACUUAUAGAUGGACCCGCGCCGUAUUAGCUAGUUGGUAAGGUAACGGCUUACCAAGGCGACGAUACGUAGCCGACCUGAGAGGGUGAUCGGCCACACUGGAACUGAGACACGGUCCAGACUCCUACGGGAGGCAGCAGUAGGGAAUCUUCCGCAAUGGGCGAAAGCCUGACGGAGCAACGCCGCGUGAGUGAUGAAGGUCUUCGGAUCGUAAAACUCUGUUAUUAGGGAAGAACAUACGUGUAAGUAACUGUGCACGUCUUGACGGUACCUAAUCAGAAAGCCACGGCUAACUACGUGCCAGCAGCCGCGGUAAUACGUAGGUGGCAAGCGUUAUCCGGAAUUAUUGGGCGUAAAGCGCGCGUAGGCGGUUUUUUAAGUCUGAUGUGAAAGCCCACGGCUCAACCGUGGAGGGUCAUUGGAAACUGGAAAACUUGAGUGCAGAAGAGGAAAGUGGAAUUCCAUGUGUAGCGGUGAAAUGCGCAGAGAUAUGGAGGAACACCAGUGGCGAAGGCGACUUUCUGGUCUGUAACUGACGCUGAUGUGCGAAAGCGUGGGGAUCAAACAGGAUUAGAUACCCUGGUAGUCCACGCCGUAAACGAUGAGUGCUAAGUGUUAGGGGGUUUCCGCCCCUUAGUGCUGCAGCUAACGCAUUAAGCACUCCGCCUGGGGAGUACGACCGCAAGGUUGAAACUCAAAGGAAUUGACGGGGACCCGCACAAGCGGUGGAGCAUGUGGUUUAAUUCGAAGCAACGCGAAGAACCUUACCAAAUCUUGACAUCCUUUGACAACUCUAGAGAUAGAGCUUUCCCCUUCGGGGGACAAAGUGACAGGUGGUGCAUGGUUGUCGUCAGCUCGUGUCGUGAGAUGUUGGGUUAAGUCCCGCAACGAGCGCAACCCUUAAGCUUAGUUGCCAUCAUUAAGUUGGGCACUCUAAGUUGACUGCCGGUGACAAACCGGAGGAAGGUGGGGAUGACGUCAAAUCAUCAUGCCCCUUAUGAUUUGGGCUACACACGUGCUACAAUGGACAAUACAAAGGGUAGCGAAACCGCGAGGUCAAGCAAAUCCCAUAAAGUUGUUCUCAGUUCGGAUUGUAGUCUGCAACUCGACUACAUGAAGCUGGAAUCGCUAGUAAUCGUAGAUCAGCAUGCUACGGUGAAUACGUUCCCGGGUCUUGUACACACCGCCCGUCACACCACGAGAGUUUGUAACACCCGAAGCCGGUGGAGUAACCAUUUGGAGCUAGCCGUCGAAGGUGGGACAAAUGAUUGGGGUGAAGUCGUAACAAGGUAGCCGUAUCGGAAGGUGCGGCUGGAUCACCUCCUUUCU
rnacentral:rRNA from 1 species